rnacentral:rRNA from 1 species
UACGGGGGGAGCAAGCGUUGUUCGGAUUUACUGGGCGUAAAGGGCGCGUAGGCGGCCCAGCACAAAUCAGUUGUGAAAUCUCCGAGCUUAACUCGGAAAGGUCAACUGAUACUGUGCGGCUAGAGUGCGGAAGGGGCUACUGGAAUUCUCGGUGUAGGCGGUGAAAUGCGUAGAUAUCGAGAGGAACACCUGCGGCGAAGGCGGGUAGCUGGGCCGACACGUGACGCUGACGACGCGAAGCGUGGGGAGCGAACCGG